CUCCCUCUGGGGGUGUAGGGACCGGGUUUCCUUCUUGGGGAGGAGCUGGUGUUUCUCAGGCUAAACUGUGUCCUCCUGCCUUGGCAGAAGCCGUCGGAGAAGAAAGAAGAGACCGGAGAGGAACUUCGAGGCAAGAGGGAAGAAGAGGAGCAGCGGGCGGGACUGCGCCGUGGGUCGCCGUGUUGAGUCCAGGAGAAUAUGGUCAAGCAGAAAAGACCAGUAAGGAUAAUGCACAUCAGUGCAAAGAACUGCAUAUGCAAGAACAUCUCAGCUUGGAAAAGAGAACUAAGAGAGAAUGCACAAGUCCAUCCACAAGCAGAUGGAAAAGAGUGAAAGGGCAUUGAUUCCCAUGGCAUCAGUUGUUCACCAAUUCUCAGAAAUGUAGGUGACAACAAACGAAAUCCAGCUAGGGAUAGAAAGUUUAAGCACUGGUGAGAAAACGCAGAACUCGCUGCAAGGGCUGCGAGGGAUGUUUAGAGGUUACAAGGGAGGACUGGUAAAGUGCACAGAGAAGACAUUCUGUGGAGGUUACUACAAGAAAUAUCCAGCUCAGGAAAUACCCUGAGCUGAAAACUGUUGGAAAAUGAGAAGUAGAAGGGGUAGCAACAUACUGCCUUUUUCUGACUGGGCAACUACUGUCAGAAGCAGGAAACUGGACUAGAGGGACCUUAAGUUCACCCAAUAGGACAAUUCCUAUGUUGCUGGCUUUACCUCACAGCAUGCAGCUAUAGAUUUCCAAUAGCUCAGUGCAGGUAACAUAAAUCUAGAAACCAGGGUGACUUCGAUUGUACUGACUGUCAUAUCUGUUCAUUCAACCCUGCGAGGCUUCUUAAGAGAGCCCUGACACAUAAACCCAUUGAGUGUCCCGUGCAAAUGCAAACAUAUAUGUGUGUGUAUUGGGAUGAGCAGGGGAGGGGCUACCCACAACUUCACCACCAUGCAGAUAUCAUAAGUGAUCUAAUUCACUUCCAUUUACUCUUCUUGUUGUUGUGGAUUAACUUGAACAGAGAUAGGAAAUGGUUUCAGUGCAAACUGGAAUAUGGCCAAGCAAGAACAAGAGAUUGUGAAGAAAAGAAAGUCUUCAGCAGCCCAGGCUGCCAUUUCUCAGUAAAAGCCACAGAACCCCUGGGACAAUCAUCCCCAGAACACGAAUUUAGUAUCAACAUGGCUUGCCAAAAAAGCAGCACUGCUGGCUUUUAGCAUGUACAGAUGUACAGUGCUCCAAGCCUCACUUCCAAAGUAUACAACUAACUUGUACUUUUAGAACCAAUAGUCUCAAGUCUCUCUUACCUCAUCAAACCAUGCACUACAAGAAUGUCAUCUUACUCCAAAUAUUAUUUUUUGUAAGAUAUCCAUUUUUUAAAAUAAAAAUCUCCAUUAAACAUUCA